CACGUAGGGCGCAAGCGUUGUCCGGAAUUAUUGGGCGUAAAGAGCUCGUAGGCGGUCUGUUGCGUCCGCUGUGAAAACCCGGGGCUUAACCCCUGGCUUGCAGUGGAUACGGACAGACUAGAGGUAGGUAGGGGAGAAUGGAAUUCCCGGUGUAGCGGUGAAAUGCGCAGAUAUCGGGAGGAACACCGGUGGCGAAGGCGGGUCUCUGGGACGGUACUGACGCUGAGACGCGAAAGCGUGGGGAGCGAACAGG
rnacentral:rRNA from 1 species